CUACGGGUCGCUGCAGUGGGGAAUAUUGCACAAUGGACGAAAGUCUGAUGCAGCAACGCCGCGUGGAGGAUGACACAUUUCGGUGCGUAAACUCCUUUUAUAUGAGAAGAUAAUGACGGUAUCAUAUGAAUAAGCACCGGCUAACUCCGUGCCAGCAGCCGCGGUAAUACGGGGGGUGCAAGCGUUACUCGGAAUCACUGGGCGUAAAGAGCAUGUAGGCGGAUUAAUAAGUUGGAAGUGAAAUCCUAUAGCUUAACUAUAGAACUGCUUCCAAAACUGUUGAUCUAGAAUAUGGGAGAGGUAGAUGGAAUUUCUGGUGUAGGGGUAAAAUCCGUAGAGAUCAGAAGGAAUACCGAUUGCGAAGGCGAUCUACUGGAACAUUAUUGACGCUCAGAUGCGAAAGCGUGGGGAGCAAACAGGAUUAGAUACCCCUGUAGUC
rnacentral:rRNA from 1 species